rnacentral:rRNA from 1 species
UGGGGAAUUUUGCACAAUGGGGGAAACCCUGAUGCAGCGACGCCGCGUGAUUUAGAAGGCCUUCGGGUUGUAAAAAUCUUUUCUAUGGGAAGAAAAUGACAGUACCAUAGGAAUAAGGACCGGCUAAUUACGUGCCAGCAGCCGCGGUAAUACGUAAGGACCGAACGUUGUCCGGAAUCAUUGGGCGUAAAGGGUACGUAGGCGGGUAAGCAAGUUAGAAGUGAAAUCCUAUAGCUCAACUAUAGUAAGCUUUUAAAACUGCUCAUCUUGAGGUAUGGAAGGGAAAGUGGAAUUCCUAGUGUAGCGGUGAAAUGCGCAGAUAUUAGGAGGAAUACCGGUGGCGAAGGCGACUUUCUGGCCAUAACCUGACGCUGAGGUACGAAAGCGUGGGUAGCAAACAGG